AUUGAACGCUGGCGGCAUGCCUUACACAUGCAAGUCGAACGGCAGCACGGGUGCUUGCACCUGGUGGCGAGUGGCGAACGGGUGAGUAAUACAUCGGAACAUGUCCUGUAGUGGGGGAUAGCCCGGCGAAAGCCGGAUUAAUACCGCAUACGAUCUACGGAUGAAAGCGGGGGACCUUCGGGCCUCGCGCUAUAGGGUUGGCCGAUGGCCGCUUAGCUAGUUGGUGGGGUCAAGGCCUACCAAGGCGACGAUCAGUAGCUGGUCUGAGAGGACGACCAGCCACACGGGGACUGAGACACGGCCCAGACUCCGACGGGAGGCAGCAGUGGGGAAUUUUGGACAAUGGGCGAAAGCCUGAUCCAGCAAUGCCGCGUGUGUGAAGAAGGCCUUCGGGUUGUAAAACACUUUUGUCCGGAAAGAAAUCCUUGGCCCUAAUACGGUCGGGGGAUGACGGUACCGGAAGAAUAAGCACCGGCUAACUACGUG
rnacentral:rRNA from 1 species